rnacentral:rRNA from 1 species
GACGAACGCUGGCGGCGUGCCUAAUACAUGCAAGUAGAACGCUGAAGGAGGAGCUUGCUCUUCUGGAUGAGUUGCGAACGGGUGAGUAACGCGUAGGUAACCUGCCUGGUAGCGGGGGAUAACUAUUGGAAACGAUAGCUAAUACCGCAUAACAGUAGAUGUUGCAUGACAUUUACUUAAAAGGUGCAAUUGCAUCACUACCAGAUGGACCUGCGUUGUAUAGCUAGUUGGUGGGGUAACGGCUCACCAAGGCGACGAUACAUAGCCGACCUGAGAGGGUGAUCGGCCACACUGGGACUGAGACACGGCCCAGACUCCUACGGGAGGCAGCAGUAGGGAAUCUUCGGCAAUGGACGGAAGUCUGACCGAGCAACGCCGCGUGAGUGAAGAAGGUUUUCGGAUCGUAAAGCUCUGUUGUAAGAGAAGAACGAGUGUGAGAGUGGAAAGUUCACACUGUGACGGUAUCUUACCAGAAAGGGACGGCUAACUACGUG